rnacentral:rRNA from 1 species
CGCUGGCGGCGUGCCUAACACAUGCAAGUCGAACGAAGCACUCCGGUUUGAGAUUCGUCAAGAACUGGAUUUGACUUAGUGGCGGACGGGUGAGUAAUGUAUGAGCAACCUGCCUUUUAGAGGGGGACAACAGUUGGAAACGACUGCUAAUACCGCAUAAUGUAUUUUAAGGGCAUCCUUGGAAUACCAAAGGAGCAAUCCGCUGAAAGAUGGGCUCAUAUCUGAUUAGUUAGUUGGCAGGGUAACGGCCUACCAAGACUGCGAUCAGUAGCCGGACUGAGAGGUUGAACGGCCACAUUGGGACUGAGAUACGGCCCAGACUCCUACGGGAGGCAGCAGUGGGGAAUAUUGGGCAAUGGGCGAAAGCCCUGACCCAGCAACGCCGCGUGAAGGAAGAAGGUCUUCGGAUUGUAAACUUCUUUUAUGAGGGACGAAGGACGUGACGGUACCUCAUGAAUAAGCCACGGCUAACUACGUGCCAGCAGCCGC